rnacentral:lncRNA from 1 species
CUACGUGCUUCUCUGAGCAUUAAAAUAAAAAGAUUUAGUGGUGGGUCUGGUAACUACUAUGACUUCAAAGUCGUGACGAGCAUAAAGGAUAUUUAGAGGUCUGCUACACAACGGUAACUCCCGACUCUAGACUGGCCUCCAUGUUUUGGAAUAAUGCCAAUAUUUCAGACAAAUGUCCUCAUUUGGGGUCUAGAGAAUAAGACCCCUGCACAUAUGUAGAAUCCCAGAGGAUAGAGACCAUCUAGGAAGAAGGUGGAGCUCGGCCAGCCUCUGUGUCACACCGUGGGAACAGCAACAGAAGUGUGCAUGUGCACUUGGGUGAAGAAGGCAGCAUCCGCAUGGCCCAGCCCAGACCAGUGAGCAAAGACCCCAUGAAGAAGGGUAUGUCUUAGCAGAGGCCCCAAGGGCACAUGAGGAGGAAGGGGGUGAACUGGACAGAAGGCGGGAGGCCCCAAGAGAAGAGCAGGAGUGGAAUGGUGUGACGUGCCUGAAACUACAAGCUGCUUCAAGUCGCUACGUGGGAAGUGGAGGCUGGGAAAGGCCAGGGCCUGGAGUUGGACAGACCGGGCAACAUCAGUCAUUCCAACGGAGCCCAUUGCCUGCUUUCUAGAAUGUGGAAAGACAUGGCCAGGCGCAGUGGUUCAUGCCUAUAAUCCCAGGACUUUGGGAAGCUGAGGUGGGCAGAUUACUUGAGGUCAGGAGUUCA